UGAGAAACUAUCAGAGAGGUGGAGCAUCAUCAGAGGAAGAACGCAUUCAAUCUUGGUGCAGAUCCAGAUCACUUUUUUGAAAAUUGUGAAACAGAACAUAACAGGGAAAUCAAGUGCCAAUAUUUUGGUGAAGACCGUUGUUUGUUCAAGCCAAGAGACAUCUCAAAUACACGAUGUCCAUCUGAAUGAGCACCAGAGUGGACAACACAUUUCAUUUACUGUACCUGUAUAUGAAACCUGUGUGUCAGCAGCACCACAUCCUCCAUCAAGGAGAGGAAGUAGGCUGUGAGGUCACACAGCGACUGUGGUGGAGAUGACUGAACUUUAGGCCCAUAAAGAGAAUGAACAGCUCUGGAUGUCUCACUGCAUCACAGCUGUUGUCCUGUGGAGUUUUGGUGUCACUCUGCAGAGCUCCAGGUCACUGAUCACACCUGAGAGAGUUUGAUUCUAAAUAAGUGAGUGAAAACAUGUUGAUCAGGUGACAGCGUUUUUCUUUCCGUGUUGGAGCAAGAACUGCAGCAGCAACCUGUCUCUGAUCAGUCUGUCCAGAACUCUGUUAGUAAAUAUGUCUUCAGCUGAGAAGCAUCAGAACAUCUGUUGCAGGCAGGAAACCCCACAGCUAGCUGAAGUUAACUGUAGUCAUGCGAUUUCUAAGAAACAGAGGAGGAACAGAAGAAUGAGGAAAUGAACAGUUCAGACUCCAUUUUACAGUCGACAGAAGAGGACAACAAGACUGACUGAAGUCCUCAAGAUGAGUGAUUUGGAGAAAGAGGAGGAUGGAGCAGAGCCUCCAGCGUCCAGCCGUCUGUCUAUGAAGAGUGACCGGUCCAAAGGAGAUCCUCCAGACUCCAGUAAAGAACCUGAACCCUCAGACACAAAGGUAGAAACACCUCAAACAGUCCUUUAUGGGAUUUUGGACGAUUUGAUAGACGAGGAAUUUAAAUGUUUCAAGCGGUGCUUGUAUAAUAAGUUCCUAAAAGGCUUUGAGCCAAUCCCAAAGUCACGACUGGAGAAAGCAGACAGGACAGACACCGUGGAUCAAAUGUUUCAGAGCUACUGCAUCUACACGAUUAAAGUCGCUGUAAAGGCUUUGGAGGAGAUUCUCAGAAAUGAUCUGGUGGACAACAUCCCAAAAAGCAUCAAAAAACCUGAAGAGAUUGUCAUUGAAAGUCAAGACAAGCUGAAGUCUGCUCUGAAGAAGAAGUUCCAGAGAGUGUUUGAGGGCGUCUCUACAGAACAACAAACCCUCCUGAAUGAGAUCUACACAGAGCUGUACAUCACUAAGGGAGGGACUGCAGAGAUCAGUGAUGAACACGAGAUCGGACAGAUUGAAGCAGCAUCCAGGAAAGCAGACAGAGCAGAAACAAGCAUAAGACUAGAAGACAUCUUUAAAGGCUCACCUGGAAGAGAUAAACCAAUCAGAAGAGUGAUGACAAAGGGAGUGGCUGGCAUCGGGAAGACAGUGUUAACACAGAAGUUGACUCUGGACUGGGCUGAAGACAAAAGCAACCAGGACAUCCAGUUCAUGUUUCCAUUCACUUUCAGAGAGCUGAAUUUACUGAAAGAGAGAAAGUUCAGUUUGGUGGAACUUGUUCAUCACUUCUUCAGUGAAACCAAAGGAAUCUGCAGGUUUGAAGACUUCCAGGUUGUGUUGAUCUUUGACGGUCUGGAUGAGUGUCGCCUUCCUCUGGACUUCCACAACAAUGAGGUCCUGACUGAUGUUACAGAGUCCACCUCAGUGGAUUUUCUGCUGACAAACCUGAUCACGGGGAAGCUGCUUCCUUCUGCUCGCCUCUGGAUAACCACACGACCUGCAGCAGCCAGUCAGAUCCCUCCUGACUGUGUGGACAUGGUGACGGAGGUCAGAGGGUUCACCGACCCACAGAAGGAGGAGUACUUCAGGAAAAGAUUCAGAGAUGACGAGCAGGCCAGCAGGAUCAUUUCCCACGUCAGGCAAUCACGAAGCCUCCACAUCAUGUGCCACAUCCCAGUGUUCUGCUGGAUCACUGCUACAGUUCUGGAGGAGCUGCUGAGAACCAGAGGAGGAGAGCUGCCCAGAACCCUGACUGAGAUGUACAUCCACUUCGUGGUGGUUCAGGCCAAAGUCAAGAAGGUCAAGUAUGAUGGAGGAAAAGAGACAGAGCCACACCGGAGUCCAGACAGCAGGAAGAUGAUUGAGUCUCUGGGAAAACUGGCUUUUGAGCAGCUGCAGAAAGGAAACCUGAUCUUCUAUGAAUCCGACCUGCCAGAGUGUGGCAUCGAUCUGGAAACAGCCUCAGUGUACUCAGGAGUGUUCACACAGAUAUUUAAAAAGGAGGGUAAGCUGUACCAGGACACGGUGUUCUGCUUUGUCCAUCGGAGUGUUCAGGAGUUUCUGGCUGCUCUUCAUGUCCAUCAGACCUUCAUCAAGUCUGGAAUCAACCUGCUGGAAGAACAACAAACAUCUCUGUGGUCUAAACUGUUUCAGAUGCUAACUGAUCCAACAACACGUUUCUACCAGAGAGCUGUGGACGAGGCCUUACAGAGUCCAAACGGACACCUGGACUUGUUCCUGCGCUUCCUCCUGGGUCUGUCACUGCCGUCCAAUCAGAAGAAACUACGAGGUCUGUUGAGACAGAAAGGAAGCAGCUCACAGACCAAUCAGGAAACAGUGGAGUACAUCAAGAAGAAGAUCAGGAAGCAUGUGUCUGCAGAGAGAAGCAUCAAUCUGUUCCACUGUCUGAAUGAACUGAAGGAUGUUUCUCUAGUGGAGGAGAUCCAACAGUCCCUGAGAUCAGGACGUCUGUCCACAGAUGAACUGUCUCCUGCUCAGUGGUCAGCUCUGGUCUUCAUCUUACUGUCAUCAGAAGAAGAUCUAGACAAGUUUGACCUGAAGAAAUACUCUGCUUCAGAGGAGGCUCUUCUGAGGCUGCUGCCAGUGGUCAAAGCCUCCACCAAAGCUCAGCUGCGUGACUGUAACCUCUCAAAGAGAAGCUGUGAAGCUCUGUCCUCAGUCCUCAGCUCUCUGUCCUCCAGUCUGAGAGAACUGAAUCUGAGUGAAAACAAGCUGCAGGAUUCAGGUGUGAAGAGUCUUUCUGCUGGACUGAAGAGUCCAAACUGUAAACUGGAGACUCUCAGUUUGAGGUUCUGCAGUUUGUCAGAGAUCAGUUGUGAUUCUCUGAAGUCAGCUCUGAAGUCCAACCCCUCCCAUCUGAAACAUCUGGACCUGAGUGAAAACAAGCUGCAGGAUUCAGGAGUGAAGAGUCUUUCUGCUGGACUGGAGAGUCCAAACUGUAAACUGGAAGCUCUCAGAUUGGAGAACUGCAGUUUGUCAGAGAUCAGCUGUAAUUCUCUGAACUCAGCUCUGAAGUCCAACCCCUCCCACUUGGAACAUCUGGAUUUGAGCUACAACCAGCUGCAGGAUUCAGGAGUGAAACAUCUGUGUGGUUUUCUGGAGAAUCCAGACUGCAGACUGGAGACUCUGAGAAUGGAGAGCUGCAGUUUGUCAGAGAUCAGCUGUGAUUCUCUGAACUCAGCUCUGACCUCCAACCCCUCCCAUCUGGAACAUCUGGACCUGAGCUGGAACGACCUGCAGGAUUCAGGAGUGAAACAUCUGUGUGGUUUUCUGGAGAAUCCAGACUGCAGACUGGAGACUCUGGGAUUGAUGAGCUGCAGUUUGACAGAGAUCAGCUGUGAUUCUCUGAACUCAGCUCUGAAGUCCAACCCCUCCCAUCUGAAACAUCUGGACUUGAGCUUCAACCAGCUGAAGGAUUCAGGAGUGAAACAUCUGAGUGGUUUUCUGGAGAAUCCAGACUGCAGACUGAAGACUCUGAGAUUAUGGGACUGUAGAUUGUCAGAGAUCAGCUGUGAUUCUCUGAACUCAGCUCUGAAGUCCAACCCCUCCCAUCUGAAAUAUCUGGAGCUGAGCUUCAACCAGCUGCAGGAUUCAGGAGUGAAACAUCUGAGUGGUUUUCUGAAGAAUCCAGACUGCAGACUGGAGAAUCUGGGGUUGUGGGACUGCAGUUUGUCAGAGAUCAGCUGUGAUUCUCUGAACUCAGCUCUGAAGUUCAACCCCUCCCAUCUGAAACAUCUGGACCUGAGUAACAACCAGGUGAAGGAUUCAGGAGUGAAACAUCUGUGUGGUUUUCUGGAGAAUCCAGACUGCAGACUGGAGACUCUGAGAUUGUGGCGCUGCAGUUUGUCAGAGAGCAGCUGUGAUUCUCUGAACUCAUCUCUGAAGUCCAACCCCUCCCACCUGAAACAUCUGGACCUGAGCUGGAACAAGCUACAGGAUUCAGGAGUGAAACAUCUGUGUGGUUUUCUGGAGAAUCCAGCCUGCAGACUGGAGAAUCUGGGAUUAAGGAACUGCAGUUUGUCAAAGACCAGCUGUAAAUAUCUGAACUCAGCUCUGAAGUCCAACCCCUCCCAUCUGGAACAUCUGGAGCUGAGUCGAAACAACCUGCUAGAUACAGAUGUGAAUCAGCUGUUGGAUCUUGUAAAGAGUCCAGACUGCAGCCUGGAGACUCUGAGCUGGAUGUCAUGGUGAAGAUCAGGACAGUGUGUGCUGAGAGGAUGAAGUGUGUCCUGAAGAUCCAGACAUGGACUAAGAUGUGAAGAAUUACCAGCCUUGUGUCAUAAUUGAGCAGAUAACUUGUUGUAAGACAGAAAUCAGAGGAUAAAAUGUGAACAAAGUGGAUUUAAUCACAGCUUCCCUGAGGAGUCUGAACAGAGAAGUUGUUGAAAGCUGCAGAAGAAAAGUGAUGUGACAGUUGAAGUGAAAAUCAACACAAUUCAGUCUGCAGGUUUACAACAAAGUUCCAGGAAGCAGCAGUUUUGAGCAAAAACAAACCUUAUAAUUUUUUGUAUUAAAAAUUAUUUUUCAUUUUGUGUAAUGAUAUCCAGUGUUUUGACACUUUCAUCAUAAAUAUUGAUUUUAUUUGCAUAAAUAUCCAGAUUUUGUUCCACUUUUGUUUGACAACUGUGUUGUUUUUUUUUUUACAUUUUUGUGUGUUAACAUCCAAGUUCUGACACUCCAACUUGCAAAGAUUUUAGUCCAGAAAUAUUGUCAUUGCCUCUGCUUUGCUGAUUUCUUUGUUGCAGUGGAUGAUGUGGCAACGCCUUCACAGUAAGCAACAUUACCUUUACCAACACCACCACUGGAGAGAGUAAGAAUAUGACACCUCGUCUCACAAACAUCCUCGACGGUGGGGGAGCAGACAUGACCGACCCUGGAGCCCAUUCAGCCGUACUUUAGUCUGUUGUAGUGUCAUAGUGCAUUCAGUGAAGUAGUGAAUGUCAAAAUGUGUAGUGAAAAUGUUCCAUUGUACCAUUUCAUAUAAAAUAUAAUGCUAUAGUAAGUAUAUAAUAUGUAGUAGAAACACUAUAGUAGUGUAUAUAUAAAAAUGUAAUAGUAUAGUAUUUAACGAACAAUGACACUGUGUACUAAAUGAAAAUAUAGUAUUAUGUAA